rnacentral:lncRNA from 1 species
ACCACUUGACUGAAAUUACAGCAACAUGUAAACACCUUUAACUCACAUAUACAUAGUCAAAACUAUCCCAAAAGAGAAAAUUACAUGACUCCAAAUCAGCCUCCAAACUAGUAUACAACUUGAAGCAACACAAAAAGAUUGCGUGUGAUGCCCCAAAAUUACAUACCUAAACAAAAUCACAUUCAAACAAUCCUCAACUUGUACACUUGGAUGACAUAAA